GUGGGGUAACGGCCUACCAAGGCAUCGACGGGUAGCUGGUCUGAGAGGACGAUCAGCCACACUGGGACUGAGACACGGCCCAGACUCCUACGGGAGGCAGCAGUGGGGAAUCUUGCGCAAUGGGCGAAAGCCUGACGCAGCAACGCCGCGUGAGGGACGAAGGCCUUCGGGUUGUAAACCCCUUUCAGUAGGGACGAAAACGACGGUACCUACAGAAGAAGCUCCGGCCAACUACGUGCCAGCAGCCGCGGUAACACGUAGGGAGCAAGCGUUGUCCGGAAUUAUUGGGCGUAAAGAGCUCGUAGGUGGUUCCGUAAGUCGGAUGUGAAAACUCAGGGCUCAACCUUGAGACGCCAUCCGAUACUGCGGUGACUUGAGUUCGGUAGAGGAGUGUGGAAUUCCUGGUGUAGCGGUGAAAUGCGCAGAUAUCAGGAGGAACACCGACAGCGAAGGCAGCACUCUGGGCCGAUACUGACACUGAGGAGCGAAAGCAUGGGGAGCAAACAGGAUUAGAUACCCUGGUAGUCCAUGCCGUAAACGUUGGGCACUAGGUGUGGGGAUUUAUCAACGAUCUCCGCGCCGUCGCUAACGCAUUAAGUG
rnacentral:rRNA from 1 species